rnacentral:rRNA from 1 species
UACGUAGGGGGCGAGCGUUGUCCGGAGUUACUGGGCGUAAAGCGCGCGUAGGUGGUCAUUUAAGUCUGAGGUGAAAGGUUCAGCGCUCAACGUGAACAGUGCCUUGGAUACUGGGUGACUUGAGUUCGGGAGGGGGCUGUGGAAUUCCAGGUGUAGCGGUGAAAUGCGUAGAUAUCUGGAGGAACACCGAUGGCGAAGGCAGCAGCCUGGCCCAGAACUGACACUGAGGUGCGAAAGCGUGGGGAGCGAACGGG